rnacentral:rRNA from 1 species
UGGGGAAUAUUGCACAAUGGAGGGAACUCUGAUGCAGCGACGCCGCGUGAGUGAUGAAGGAAUUCGUUUCGUAAAACUCUGUUCUAUGGGAAGAAAAGGACUGUACCAUAGGAGAAAGCUCCGGCUAAAUACGUGCCAGCAGCCGCGGUAAUACGUAUGGAGCGAGCGUUGUCCGGAAUUAUUGGGCGUAAAGGGUGCGCAGGCGGCUUUACAAGUUGGAUGUGAAAUAUUGUGGCUCAACCACAAACGUGCAACCAAAACUGCAAAGCUUGAGUUAAGGAGAGGUAAGUGGAAUUCCUGGUGUAGCGGUGGAAUGCGUAGAUAUCAGGAGGAAUACCGGUGGCGAAGGCGACUUACUGGACUUAAACUGACGCUCAGGCACGAAAGCGUGGGGAGCAAACAGG